UACGUAGGUGGCGAGCGUUGUCCGGAUUUACUGGGCGUAAAGAGCGCGCAGGCGGUCGAAUAAGGCGAAUGUGAAAGCCCCCGGCUUAACUGGGGAGGGUCAUUCGAUACUGCUCGACUUGAAGGCAGGAGAGGGUAGUGGAAUUCCCGGUGUAGUGGUGAAAUGCGUAGAUAUCGGGAGGAACACCAGUGGCGAAGGCGGCAGCCUGGUUGGUAUCUGACGCUCGGACACGACAGCAUGGGGAGCGAACGGG
rnacentral:rRNA from 1 species